ACGCUCGACACCUACGGGAGGCAGCAGUGAGGAAUAUUGGUCAAUGGGCGCUAGCCUGAACCAGCCAAGUAGCGUGAAGGAUGAAGGCUCUAUGGGUCGUAAACUUCUUUUAUAUAAGAAUAAAGCGCAGUAUGUAUACUGUUUUGUAUGUAUUAUAUGAAUAAGGAUCGGCUAACUCCGUGCCACAGCCGCGGUAAUCUGAGCGGGCUGGCAAGGC
rnacentral:rRNA from 1 species